rnacentral:rRNA from 1 species
AGAGUUUGAUCCUGGCUCAGGAUGAACGCUAGCGGUAGGCCUAACACAUGCAAGUCGAACGGUAACAUAAGAGCUUGCUCUUGAUGACGAGUGGCGAACGGGUGCGUAACACGUAUACAAUCUACCUUUAACUGAGGAAUAGCCCAGAGAAAUUUGGAUUAAUACCUCAUAGUAUUAUUUUAAGGCAUCUUAUUAUAAUUAAAACUCCGGUGGUUAAAGAUGAGUAUGCGUUCUAUUAGUUUGUUGGUGAGGUAACGGCUUACCAAGACUACGAUAGAUAGGGGGCCUGAGAGGGUGAUCCCCCACACUGGUACUGAGACACGGACCAGACUCCUACGGGAGGCAGCAGUGAGGAAUAUUGCGCAAUGGAGGAAACUCUGACGCAGCCAUACCGCGUGUAGGAAGAAUGUCCUAUGGAUUGUAAACUACUUUUAUACAAGAAGAAACCCCAGUACGUGUACUGGGCUGACGGUAUUGUACGAAUAAGCACCGGCUAACUCCGUGCCAGCAGCCGCGGUAAUACGGAGGGUGCAAGCGUUAUCCGGAUUUAUUGGGUUUAAAGGGUCCGCAGGCGGGAUUCUAAGUCAGUGGUGAAAGCCUACAGCUCAACUGUAGAACUGCCAUUGAUACUGGAAUUCUUGAGUGUGGUUGAAGUAGACGGAAUAUGUCAUGUAGCGGUGAAAUGCAUAGAUAUGACAUAGAACACCAAUUGCGUAGGCAGUUUACUAAACCAUUACUGACGCUCAUGGACGAAAGUGUGGGGAGCGAACAGGAUUAGAUACCCUGGUAGUCCACACCGUAAACUAUGAUCACUAGAUGUUGGCGAUAUACAGUCAGUGUCUUAGAGAAAUCGUUAAGUGAUCCACCUGGGGAGUACGUUCGCAAGAAUGAAACUCAAAGGAAU